rnacentral:rRNA from 1 species
UACGUAGGGUGCGAGCGUUGUCCGGAAUUAUUGGGCGUAAAGAGCUCGUAGGCGGCUUGUCGCGUCGGUUGUGAAAGCCCGGGGCUUAACUCCGGGUCUGCAGUCGAUACGGGCAGGCUAGAGUGUGGUAGGGGAGAUCGGAAUUCCUGGUGUAGCGGUGAAAUGCGCAGAUAUCAGGAGGAACACCGGUGGCGAAGGCGGAUCUCUGGGCCAUUACUGACGCUGAGGAGCGAAAGCGUGGGGAGCAAACAGG